AUUGAACGCUGGCGGCAGGCCUAACACAUGCAAGUCGAGCGGUAGAGAGGUGCUUGCACCUUUUGAGAGCGGCGGACGGGUGAGUAAUGCCUAGGAAUCUGCCUGGUAGUGGGGGAUAACGCUCGGAAACGGACGCUAAUACCGCAUACGUCCUACGGGAGAAAGCAGGGGACCUUCGGGCCUUGCGCUAUCAGAUGAGC
rnacentral:rRNA from 1 species